UUUUUAUACCAUUUUUAUAAGUAAUAUCUGCUCAAUGAUAUUUAAAUAGCCGCAGAAUUUUAACUGUGCUAAGGUAGCAUAAUCAUUUACCUUUUAAUUGAAGGCCUGUAUGAAAGAUUUUACAUUUAAAUUAUUUUUUUGCUAAAUUAAAUUUAAAUUUUACUAAAAAUAAAAAUAUUUUUAUAAAUAAAAAAGACGACAAGACCCUAUUGAACUUUACUUCAGUUAAGCUGGGGAAGCUACUUAAAUAUUAUUUUAAUAAUAUAACUUAAAUAAAUUUCUGGAAACCCAAUUUGAACAAGUUACCAUAGGGAUAACAGCGUAAUAAUUUUUUAAAGUUCUUAUUAAAAAAAAAAGGUUACGACCUCGAUGUUGAAUUAAAUUUACUUUAAAACGCAAUAGUAUUAAAAGCAGGUCUGUUCGACCUUUAAAUUUUUACAU
rnacentral:rRNA from 1 species